AAUGAACGUUGGCGGCAUGGAUUAGGCAUGCAAGUCGCGCGAUAAGAUUCCUUCGGGGAUCUGAAAGCGGCGAAAGGGAGAGUAACGCGUAGAUUAUCUACCCUGAGGACUGGGAUAGCGGCGGGAAACUGCCGGUAAUACCAGAUGAUGUCUCCGGACCAAAGGUGUGAUUCCGCCUUGGGAUGAAUUUGCGUCCUAUUAGCUAGUUGGUGAGGUAACGGCUCACCAAGGCGAAGAUGGGUACCGGGUGUGAGAGCAUGACCCGGCUCACUGGGACUGAGACACUGCCCAGCCACCUACGGGUGGCUGCCGUCGGGAAUCUUCGGCAAUGGGCGAAAGCCUGACCGAGCAAUGCCGCGUGCGGGAUGAAAGCCCUCGGGUUGUAAACCGCUGUCAGUGGGGAGCAACUUCCAUAAAGCUAUCUUUAUGGAUUGAGCGAUCCGCAGAGGAAGUACGGGCUAAGUUCGUGCCAGCCGCCGCAGUAACAC
rnacentral:rRNA from 1 species